AGAACGAACGCUGGCGGCAUGCCUAAUACAUGCAAGUCGAACGAACACUUCGGUGUUAGUGGCGCACGGGUGCGUAACGCGUGGGAAUCUGCCCUUGGGUUCGGAAUAACAGUUGGAAACGACUGCUAAUACCGGAUGGUAUCGAAAGAUCAAAGAUUUAUCGCCCAGGGAUGAGCCCGCGUAGGAUUAGCUAGUUGGUGAGGUAAAGGCUCACCAAGGCGACGAUCCUUAGCUGGUCUGAGAGGAUGAUCAGCCACACUGGGACUGAGACACGGCCCAGACUCCGUACGGGAGGCAGCAGUAGGGAAUAUUGGACAAUGGGCGCAAGCCUGAUCCAGCAAGUGCCGCGUGAGUGAUGAAGCCGUUAGGGUUGUAAAGUCUCUUUACCCGAGUAUGAUAAUGACAGUA
rnacentral:rRNA from 1 species